UACGUAGGGGGCUAGCGUUGUCCGGAAUCAUUGGGCGUAAAGAGCGUGUAGGCGGCCCGGUAAGUCCGCUGUGAAAGUCGGGGGCUCAACCCUCGAAUGCCGGUGGAUACUGUCGGGCUAGAGUGCGGAAGAGGCAAGUGGAAUUCCUGGUGUAGCGGUGAAAUGCGCAGAUAUCAGGAGGAACACCGAUUGCGAAGGCAGCUCGCUGGGACGUAACUGACGCUGAGACGCGAAAGCGUGGGGAGCAAACAGG
rnacentral:rRNA from 1 species